rnacentral:rRNA from 1 species
GAUGAACGCUGGCGGCAUGCUUAACACAUGCCAGUCGGACGGGAAGUGGUGUUUCCAGUGGCGGACGGGUGAGUAACGCGGAAGAACCUGCCCUUGGGAGGGGAACAACAGCUGGAAACUGCUGCUAAUACCCCGUAGGCUGAGGAGGAAAAGGAGGAAGCCGCCCGAGGAGGGGCUGGCGUCUGAUUAGCUAGUUGGUGAGGCAAGAGCUUACCAAGGCGAUGAUCAGUAGCUGGUCCGAGAGGAUGAUCAGCCACACUGGGACUGAGACGCGGCCCAGACUACGACGGGAGGCAGCAGGGGGGAAUGUUCCGCAAUGGGCGAAAGGCUGACGGAGCACUGCCGCGGGGAGGUAGAAGGUCCACGGGUCGUGAACUGCUUUUCCCGGAGAAGAAGCAAUGACGGUAUCUGGGGAAUAAGCAUCGGCUAACUCCGUG